GAGAUGGUGUGCUGUAUUUUCGCUUCUUUUGGUUUUAGAGUGAUGAUAGACUCACCAAAGUGCAGUACCGUGAUGUGCACUGAUAGGGGAUUUGAUGACCUCAAUGUCACCCUCUCUGCGUUGGGAUAGGGUUGGGGCAAGAAUGGUCCCCAUCACCCUCUCACACGGUGUAGCUAACAUUUUCGUUGGUUUUAUUCCUUUGUAACUGAAGUAAUUCUAUGUUUUCAGGUUUUUGACUAAUAUUCGACCGGUUGCGCUUCUAAGAAGCCAAACAUUAGGUACAUCUUCGUAUUAAAGAAGAACCUGCAAACUCCUCAUACAAAAUGGAUCACUUUUUCUGAAAUAGUGACUUCGUUACAAGGCUUAAUAAUCAGAACAGUGAGAACACCUUCGAUAUCUCAAAAACUGCACACGAUCGAAAAUUAAUCUCUCAUACACACUUCUGGUAAUUCUUCGUUAAAUGGAAAAAUUGACAUGGCGGAAAAUCAGCAGCUUUUGAAGUAUGUUGAAGAGGAGAUUCAGAGGAGGAACGAUGCUCACAAUGGAAUGGUUGAUGACGCAAUUCAAUUAAGGAAUGGGGCUUACACUAAAAUGGAUUUGAUCAUAUGAACUGACGAUGAAUUACUGAGUACAGUAAUGUUCAUCUCAUAUGUGAAUCUUUUGGAGAACCAGUUGGAAAAAAAUUAUUUGGCUCAGACAAGCAUCUUGGUCCUCGAAGCUGAUAAAUUGAUGGAUAUAAAUAUAAAAAUGGUAUCAUUGGUCCAUCCAGGGACGGGAAUAUGUACAUCUGAGUACAAAUUACAUAUCACUUGCUUCUGAGAAUUACAAUUCCAAUAUGGAGUUGUAUCCUCAAGUGUUUUUGGAUAAACUAGAGUAUACACAUGUGCCAAGUCAUAGGCUACAGUUAAAAGUUGGAAUACCGAUUAUUCUUCUCAGAGACAUCAACAUAAGAGAGGGCGUCGUUGGAGGUACACGAUUGGUUAUAACACAAUUAGGCGCUGAGGAAAUUGUGCAGAAGUCCUCACCGGUGCCGGUGCUGGUAGAUAGCGAUAAUACGGCGUAGGUCAAUAAUGUUGGACAGUACACUUCCGGUAAUCAGGUAUCAAUUUCCUGUGAAAGUAUGUUUAGCAAUGGCAGUUGGCGGUGACAGGGAUCAAAACCUACUCCACGCUGGGUUCUUCUUACGUUCUGGAACUUAUAGUCAACAUCCGGAGUACAUUGGUAUUUUGACAAAGGAGGCAAUGUAUGGUAGUUCAAAAUUGGAGAUUACAAUUAUAAAAAAGGAACAACAAGCAAAACACUAUACAAAAUCCACUGUUUACAAGCAAAACUUUGAGAAUUCACGGUUCAUAGAUGAUACUAUAAACCAGAUCAUGGCAAGUGCGAAUGCAGAGGAUGGUUUGGGAUCUUGAUGCCAAAUUAGAGUCCAGUAUCGAGUUUUAUAUUUUGACACUUAGGUUUUGAUGUCAAAUUAGAGUCCAGUAUCGAGUUUUAUGUUUUGAUACUUAGGUUUUGAGAAAUAUGUGGUUUCAGUUUUUUACAUGUAACAAUACUAUAUUUAAGAAAGCAUUUUAA